UGUGUGUGUGCCUCCACGUGUGUGUGCCCACAUCCCUGUGUGUGUUUCCUUGUGUGUGUGUGUGUGUGUGUGCGCGCCCUCCCCGGGCACUGAUCACCACCAACGUGACAAUAUUUGCACACACACCAACGUGUGACACUGAACUGUGGCACUGCUGUGCGGCGCCGACACGGCGGGGUGACGACGCUGCGUUGGUUGUGACAACGUGAGGUCGGGUGUGACGACAACAACACUACACUGGGUGUGACAACAACAACACUACCUUGGGUGUGACAACAACAACACUACAUUGAGUGUGACAACAACAACACUACGUUGAGUGUGACAACGCUGCAUCGGGUGUGACAACACUACGUGGGCUGUGACAGUGCUAUGUCGGGUGUGACAACGCUCCAUCGGGUGUAACGAUCCUACAUCGGGUGUGACAACACUACGCUGAGUGUGACAACACUACGCUGAGUGUGACAACACUACGUGGGCUGUGACAGUGCUGCGUCGGGUGUAACAACACUCCAUCAGGUGUGAUAGUGCCAUGUCGGGUGUGUCAACGCUGCGUCACUGGGUGUGACAGCACUCCAUCAGGUGUGACAACGCUACCUCAGGUGUACCAACGCUGUGUUGGGUGUGACAGCAGGUGUGACAGCACUGUGUUGGGUGUAACAACGCUCCAUCGGGUGUAAGGAUGCUGCGUCGGGUGUGACAACACUGUGUCAGGUGUGACAACACCGCGUCGAGUGUGACAACACCACGUCGGGUGUAACGAUGCUACGUCGGGUGUGACAACACUGCGUUGGUUCUAACAACACUCGUUUGGGUGUAAUGAGUUUGCAUCGGGUGUGACAACACUGCGUCGGGUGUGACAACACUACAUCAGAUGUAACAGUGCUACCUUGGGUGUGAUUACACUGUGUCAGGUGUGACAGCACUGUGUGGGUGUAACUGUGUUACGUUGGGGGUGACAGUGCUACGUGGGGUGUGACAACACUGUCUUGGGUGUGGCAAAACUACGUCGGGUGUGGCAGUGCUACAGUGGGUGUGGAAACGUGAUGUCGGAGGUGACAACACUCCUUUGGGUGUGACAGGGCUACAACACUGGGUGUGACAACACUACACCGGGUGGAGUGGCACUGUGUUGGGUGUGACAACACUAUGACGGGUGUAACAAUGCCGUGUUGGGUGUAAGGACACCACGUUGGGUGUAACAAUGCCACGUUGGGUGUGACAACACUACACUGCGUGUAACAAUGCCAUGUUAGGUGUGACAACACUACACCGGGUGUAACAAUGCUGUGUUGGGUGUGACAACACUACAUUGGCUGUGACAACGCUGUGUCAGGUGUGACAACGCUGUGCCGUUGUCUGACAGUCCUACAUGGGGUGUAACAGUGGUGCCUCAGGUGUGACAACGCCAUGUUGGGUGUGAUGACACCAUGUUGGGUGUAACAGUGCUACAUUGAGUGUUACAACGCUGUGUUGGGUGUGAAAACACAUUGAGUGUAACAGUGCCACAUUGGGGUUGACAGCAACCCAUUGGGUGUGACAAUGCUAUGUUGGGUGUGACAACACUGUGCUGGGUGUAACAACACUUCUUUGGGUGUGACAACACUGUGUUGGGUGUGAUGACACUAUGUUGGGUGUAACAGUGCUACACUGAGUGUAACAAUGCUGUGUUGGGGGUGAAAACACAUUGAGUGUAACAGUGCUACAUUGGGGUUGAUAACAUAUUAAGUGUGACAAUGCUAUGUUGGGUGUGACAACACUGUGCUGGGUGUGACAACACUUCUUUGGGUGUGAUAACACUGUGUUGGGUGUGAUGACACCAUGUUGAGUGUAACAGUGCUACAUUGAGUGUAACAACACAGUGUUGGGUGUAACAGUGCUAUGUUGGGUGUGACAAUGCUACACUGAGUGUAACAAUGCUGUGUUGGGGGUGAAAACACCAUGUUGGGUGUAACAGUGCUACAUUGGGGUUGACAACAACCCGUUGGGUGUGACAAUGCUAUGUUGGGUGUGACAACAAUGUGCUGGGUGUAACAACACUGUGCUGGGUGUGACAACACUGUGCUGGGUGUAACAACACUUCUUUGGGUGUAACAACAAUACUGUAUUGGGUGUAGCAGUGCUACACUGGGUGUGACAACAUUGUGUUGGGUGUAACAAUGCUGUGCUGGGUGUAACAACACCGUGUUGGGUGUGGCAAAACUAUACUGAGUGUAACAGCACUGCGUUGGGUGUGACAGUGCUGUGUUGGGUGUGACAACACUGUGUCAGGUGUGACAAUCCUACAUUGUGUGUAACAACACUGCCUCAGUUGUGACAACACCGUGUCGGGUGUGACAACGCUACGUUGAGUGUGACAACGCCGUGUUGGGUGUAACAGUGCUACAUGGGGUGUGACAACGCUGUGUUGGGUGUGACAAUGUUACAUCAGCUGUAAUCAUGCUAUGUUGGGUGUGACAGCACUGCUGGGUGUGACAACACCAGGUUGGGUGUAAGAACACUACACUGAGGGUAACAGCACCGUGUUGGGUGUAACAGUGCCACACCGAGUGUAACGACACUGCAUUGAUUGUAACAGUGCUACAUGGGGUGUGACAACACCAGGUUGGGUGUGACAGCGCUGUGUUGGGUGUGACAGUGCUGCGCCGGGUGUAACAGUGCUACACUGGGUGUGAUAACAUCAUGUUGGGUGUGACAACGACGCUGCACUGGGUGUAAUAGUGCUACAGUGGGUGUGACAACACAGCAUUGGGUGUGAUAACAACAAUGCAUUGGGUGUAACAGUGCUGCAUCGGGUGUGAUAACAUCAUGUUGGGUGUGACAAUGACACUGCACUGGGUGUAAUAGUGUUACAGUGGGUGUGACAAUGACAUGGUGGGUGUGAUAACACUGUGUUGAGUGUGAUAA